UACACUCCUACGGAGGCAGCAGUGGGGAAUUUUGGACAAUGGGCGAAAGCCUGAUCCAGCAAUGCCGCGUGAGUGAAGAAGGCCUUCGGGUUGUAAAGCUCUUUUGUCAGGGAAGAAACGGUGAAAGCUAAUAUCUUUUGCUAAUGACGGUACCUGAAGAAUAAGCACCGGCUAACUACGUGCCAGCAGCCGCGGUAAUACGUAGGGUGCAAGCGUUAAUCGGAAUUACUGGGCGUAAAGCGUGCGCAGGCGGUUUUGUAAGUCAGAUGUGAAAUCCCCGGGCUCAACCUGUGAAUUGCAUUGGAGACUGCGAGGCUAGAAUCUGGUAGAGGGGGGUAGAAUUCCACGUGUAGCAGUGAAAUGCGUAGAUAUGUGGAGGAACACCGAUGGCGAAGGCAGCCCCCUGGGUCAAGAUUGACGCUGAUGCACGAAAGCGUGGGGAGCAAACAGGAUUAGAAACCCGAGUAGUCCCA
rnacentral:rRNA from 1 species